AGCUGAGAAGAAACUGCAAGACAUGAAGAAGACUUCAUAGGUGACAUCCCUUGUUCUAGCUGCCAGGGAAUCCUAAUCAGACCUGGAUACUCACAUCUGGAUGCCUGCGUGCUCGACAGACAAUUUGAGUAUAUACACCUCUUGCUGCUUGUCAGCGUAAGCAUAUGGACUCAAGUAGAACUGGUACGUCACAUCCAUCCAAGUAUUUCUUGCUUGUAGUGGAAUUGAACAACGGAUAAACUGUUUCAAACCGACAGAUAUAGGAGACAUUUACAUCUACAAGAUAAAAAUCUUCAGUGAAGGGUAAAUAGAAGCUGAUACUAUUUUUUAAAAAAAUCUUUUAAUAAAAUAUAUUACUGCUGAAGUCA
rnacentral:lncRNA from 1 species